UACAGAGGUCCCAAGCGUUGUUCGGAUUCACUGGGCGUAAAGGGUGCGUAGGUGGCGGGGUAAGUCUGAUGUGAAAGCCCUGGGCUCAACCUGGGAAUGGCAUUGGAUACUGGCGGACUGGAGUGCGGUAGAGGAUGGCGGAAUUCCCGGUGUAGCAGUGAAAUGCGUAGAGAUCGGGAGGAACAUCUGUGGCGAAGGCGGCCAUCUGGACCAGCACUGACACUGAGGCACGAAAGCCGGGGGAGCAAACAGG
rnacentral:rRNA from 1 species